rnacentral:rRNA from 1 species
UAACACAUGCAAGUCGAACGAAGUAGCAAUACUUAGUGGCAGACGGGUGAGUAGAAGGUGGGUAUCUACCCUUUGGCCUGGAAUAACACGAGGAAACUUGUGCUAAUACCGGAUAAGUCUUUACGGAGAAAGCUUUAUGCACCAUUGGAUGAGCCCGCCCUUGAUUAGUUUGUUGGUAGGGCAAUGGCCUACCAAGACUAUGAUCAAUAGCUGAUUUGAGAGGAUGAUCAGCCACAUUGGGACUGAGACACGGCCCAAACUCCUACGGGAGGCAGCAGUGGGGAAUCUUGCACAAUGGAGGAAACUCUGAUGCAGCGAUGCCGCGUGAGUGAAGAAGGCCUUUGGGUUGUAAAGCUCUUUCGUCGGGGAAGAAAAUGACUGUACCCGAAUAAGAAGGUCCGGCUAACUUCGUGCCAGCAGCCGCGGUAAUACGAAGGGACCUAGCGUAGUUCGGAAUUACUGGGCUUAAAGAGUUCGUAGGUGGUUGAAAAAGUUGGUGGUGAAAUCCCAGAGCUUAACUCUGGAACUGCCAUCAAAACUUUUCAGCUAGAGUAUGAUAGAGGAAAGCAGAAUUUCUAGUGUAGAGGUGAAAUUCGUAGAUAUUAGAAAGAAUACCAAUUGCGAAGGCAGCUUUCUGGAUCAUUACUGACACUAAGGAACGAAAGCAUGGGUAGCGAAGAGGAUUAGAUACCCUCGUAGUCCAUGCCGUAAACGAUGUGUGUUAGACGUUGGAAAUUUAUUUUCAGUGUCGCAGGGAAACCGAUAAACACACCGCCUGGGGAGUACGACCGCAAGGUUAAAACUCAAAUGAAUUGACGGGGACCCGCACAAGUAGUGGAGCAUGUGGUUUAAUUCGAAGAUACGCGCAGAACCUUACCAACACUUGACAUGUUCGUCGCGACUCUAAGAGAUUAGAGUUUUCGGUUCGGCCGGACGAAACACAGGUGCUGCAUGGCUGUCGUCAGCUCGUGUCGUGAGAUGUUGGGUUAAGUCCCGCAACGAGCGCAACCCUCACUUUUAGUUGCCAUCAUUAAGUUGGGCACUCUGAAAGAACUGCCAGUGAUAAGCUGGAGGAAGGUGGGGAUGACGUCAAGUCCUCAUGGCCCUUACGUGUUGGGCUACACACGUGCUACAAUGGUAUCUACAACAGGAAGCAAGACUGCGAAGUUAAGCAAAUCCCUAAAAGAUACCUCAGUUCGGAUUGCACUCUGCAACUCGAGUGCAUGAAGCUGGAAUUACUAGUAAUCGUGGAUCAGCGUGCCACGGUGAAUGCGUUCCCGGGUCUUGUACACACCGCCCGUCACACCAUGGGAGUUGGUUCUACCCGACGGCCGUGCGCUAACUUUUGAGGCAGCGGACCACGGUGGGAUCAGCGACUGGGGUG